GCCCAUUAAAGCGGCACGCGAGCUGGGUUUAGAACGUCGUGAGACAGUUCGGUCCCUAUCCGCCGCGCGCGCAGGAAACUUGAGAAAGGCUGUCCCUAGUACGAGAGGACCGGGAUGGACGAACCUCUGGUGUGCCAGUUGUCCCGCCAGGGGCACGGCUGGUUAGCUACGUUCGGAAGUGAUAACCGCUGAAUGCAUCUAAGCGGGAAGCAUGUUUCAAGAUGAGGUUUCCCACCCGCUUGACGGGGUAAGGCCCCCAGCAGAACACUGGGUUGAUAGGCCGGAGGUGUACAGCAGUAAUGCCUAGCCGACCGGUACUAAUAGGCCGAGGGCUUGUCUUAC
rnacentral:rRNA from 1 species